UACGUAGGGUGCAAGCGUUGUCCGGAAUUAUUGGGCGUAAAGAGCUCGUAGGCGGUUUGUCGCGUCUGCUGUGAAAACGCGAGGCUCAACCUCGCGCCUGCAGUGGGUACGGGCAGACUAGAGUGCGGUAGGGGAGAUUGGAAUUCCUGGUGUGAGCGGUGGAAUCGCAGAUAUCAGGAGGAACACCGGUGGCGAAGGCGGGUCUCUGGGCAGUAACUGACGCUGGAGGAGCGAAAGCGUGGGGAGCGAACAGG
rnacentral:rRNA from 1 species